rnacentral:rRNA from 1 species
GGCUGCGGCAGCUACACAUGCAGCCGAGCGGUAUGGAUAGCUUGCUAUCCAGAGAGCGGCGUACGGGUGCGUAACACGUGUGCAACCUACCUUUAUCUGGGGGAUAGCCUUUCGAAAGGAAGAUUAAUACCCCAUAAUAUAAUGAUUGGCAUCAAUUAUUAUUGAAAACUCCGGUGGAUAGAGAUGGGCACGCGCAAGAUUAGAUAGUUGGUGAGGUAACGGCUCACCAAGUCUGUGAUCUUUAGGGGUCCUGAGAGGGAGAUCCCCCACACUGGUACUGAGACACGGACCAGACUCCUACGGGAGGCAGCAGUGAGGAAUAUUGGACAAUGGGUGAAAGCCUGAUCCAGCCAUCCCGCGUGAAGGAUGACGGUCCUAUGGAUUGUAAACUUCUUUUGUACAGGGAUAAACCUACUCUCGUGAGGGUAGCUGAAGGUACUGUACGAAUAAGCACCGGCUAACUCCGUGCCAGCAGCCGCGGUAAUACGGAGGGUGCAAGCGUUAUCCGGAUUUAUUGGGUUUAAAGGGUCCGUAGGCGGACCUGUAAGUCAGUGGUGAAAUCUCAUAGCUUAACUAUGAAACUGCCAUUGAUACUGCAGGUCUUGAGUAAAUUUGAAGUGGCUGGAAUAAGUAGUGUAGCGGUGAAAUGCAUAGAUAUUACUUAGAACACCAAUUGCGAAGGCAGGUCACUAAGAUUUAACUGACGCUGAUGGACGAAAGCGUGGGUAGCGAACAGGAUUAGAUACCCUGGUAGUCCACGCCGUAAACGAUGCUAACUCGUUUUUGGAUUUUCGGAUUCAGAGACCAAGCGAAAGUGAUAAGUUAGCCACCUGGGGAGUACGUUCGCAAGAAUGAAACUCAAAGGAAUUGACGGGGGCCCGCACAAGCGGUGGAUUAUGUGGUUUAAUUCGAUGAUACGCGAGGAACCUUACCAAGACUUAAAUGGGAAUUGACAGAUUUAGAAAUAGAUCCUCCUUCGGGCAAUUUUCAAGGUGCUGCAUGGUUGUCGUCAGCUCGUGCCGUGAGGUGUUAGGUUAAGUCCUGCAACGAGCGCAACCCCUGUCACUAGUUGCUAACAUUUAGUUGAGGAC